rnacentral:misc_RNA from 1 species
UACGGAGGGAGCUAGCGUUGUUCGGAAUUAAUGGGCGUAAAGCGCACGUAGGCGGCUUUGUAAGUUAGGGGUGAAAGCCCGGAGCUCAACUACGGAAUUGCCUUUAAGACUGCAUCGCUUGAAUCCAGGAGAGGUGAGUGGAAUUCCGAGUGUAGAGGUGAGAUUCGUAGAUAUUCGGAAGAACACCAGUGGCGAAGGCGGCUCGCUGGACUGGUAUUGACGCUGAGGCGCGAAAGCGUGGGGAGCAAACAGG